UAACGCGUAAGCAAUCUGCCUAUUAGAGGGGAAUAACAGUGAGAAAUCACUGCUAAUACCGCAUAUGCCAUGAACAUCGCAUGAUGAAAAUGGGAAAGGAGUAAUCCGCUAAUAGAUGAGCUUGCGUCUGAUUAACUAGUUGGUGUGGUAAUGGCAUACCAAGGUAACGAUCAGUAGCCGGACUGAGAGGUUGAACGGCCACAUUGGGACUGAGAUACGGCCCAGACUCCUACGGGAGGCAGCAGUCGGGAAUAUUGCGCAAUGGAGGAAACUCUGACGCAGUGACGCCGCGUAUAGGAUGAAGGUUUUCGGAUUGUAAACUAUUGUCAUUAGGGAAGAUAAAAGACAGUACCUAAGGAGGAAGCUCCGGCUAACUACGUGCCAGCAGCCGCGGUAAUACGUAGGGAGCAAGCGUUAUCCGGAUUUAUUGGGUGUAAAGGGUGCGUAGACGGGAGAUUAAGUUAGUUGUGAAAGCCCUUGGCUUAACUGAGGAAUUGCAACUAAAACUGGUUUUCUUGAGUGCAGGAGGGGUAAGUGGAAUUCCUAGUGUAGCGGUGAAAUGCGUAGAUAUUAGGAGGAACACCAGUGGCGAAGGCGACUUACUGGACUGUAACUGACGUUGAGGCACGAAAGUGUGGGGAGCAAACAGGAUUAGAUACCCUGGUAGUCCACACUGUAAACGAUGGAUACUAGGUGU
rnacentral:rRNA from 1 species